rnacentral:rRNA from 1 species
GACAGAGGGCGCAAGCGUUGUUCGGAAUUACUGGGCGUAAAGCGCGCGUAGGCGGCCCGGUAAGUCCGCUGUGAAAGUCAAAGGCUCAACCUUUGAAUGUCAGCGGAUACUGCCGGGCUAGAGUCCGGAAGAGGCGAGUGGAAUUCCUGGUGUAGCGGUGGAAUGCGCAGAUAUCAGGAGGAACACCAACGGCGAAGGCAGCUCGCUGGGACGGUACUGACGCUGAGGCGCGAAAGCGUGGGGAGCGAACAGG